rnacentral:rRNA from 1 species
UAGCGUAUUCGUUUGACGUUAGCGACAGAAGAAAGCACCGGCUAACUCCGUGCCAGCAGCCGCGGUAAUACGGAGGGUGCGAGCGUUAAUCGGAAUUACUGGGCGUAAAGCGCAUGCAGGUGGUUUGUUAAGUCAGAUGUGAAAGCCCGGGGCUCAACCUCGGAAUAGCAUUUGAAACUGGCAGACUAGAGUACUGUAGAGGGGGGUAGGAAUUUCAGGUGUAGCGGUGAAAUGCGUAGAGAUCUGAAGGAAUACCGGUGGCGAAGGCGGCCCCCUGGACAGAUACUGACACUCAGAUGCGAAAGCGUGGGGAGCAAACAGGAUUAGAUACCCUGGUAG